rnacentral:lncRNA from 1 species
AGAACCCAACAAACUGGACAAUUUCUUUAUAGAAAAAGGCUAUGAGUCCCGAUGACUUGUUUAUCCAUCCAUGCCAUGCAAGAUGCAACACGCAGCGCCAGGGCUAGGUAGCAGAGUAGACAGAAGCCUAGGCCAGGGCGUGAGGCGGUGAGGGGAUGCUGGAUGCAUGAUGCAAAGGCCAUCCAAUCCAACACCAACGCUUAUUACUUGCACAGUUGCAC